ACGCUCGACACCUACUGGAGGCAGCAGUGAGGAAUAUUGGUCAAUGGGCGCAGGCCUGAACCAGCCAAGUAGCGUGAAGGAUGACUGCCCUAUGGGUUGUAAACUUCUUUUAUAUGGGAAUAAAGUUUUCCACGUGUGGAAUUUUGUAUGUACCAUAUGAAUAAGGAUCGGCUAACUCCGUGCCAGUAGCCGCGGUAAUCUGAGCGGGCUGGCAAGGC
rnacentral:rRNA from 1 species